AUUGAACGCUGGCGGCAUGCUUUACACAUGCAAGUCGAACGGUAACAGGCCGCAAGGUGCUGACGAGUGGCGAACGGGUGAGUAAUGCAUCGGAGCGUGCCCAGUCGUGGGGGAUAACUACUCGAAAGAGUAGCUAAUACCGCAUACGAUCUAUGGAUGAAAGCGGGGGACCGUAGGGCCUCGCGCGAUUGGAGCGGCGGAUGUCCGAUUAGGUAGUUGGUGGGGUAAAGGCUCACCAAGCCAACGAUCUGUAGCUGGUCUGAGAGGACGACCAGCCACACUGGGACUGAGACACGGCCCAGACUCCUACGGGAGGCAGCAGUGGGGAAUUUUGGACAAUGGGCGCAAGCCUGAUCCAGCAAUGCCGCGUGCAGGAAGAAGGCCUUCGGGUUGUAAACUGCUUUUGUACGGAACGAAACGGCUCUGGUUAAUACCCGGGGCUAAUGACGGUACCGUAAGAAUAAGCACCGGCUAACUACGUG
rnacentral:rRNA from 1 species